rnacentral:rRNA from 1 species
CAGUAGCCGCGGGAAUACGGAGGGUGCAAGCGUUAAUCGGAAUUACUGGGCGUAAAGCGCACGCAGGCGGUCUGUCAAGUCAGAUGUGAAAUCCCCGGGCUUAACCUGGGAACUGCAUUUGAAACUGGCAGGCUAGAGUCUUGUAGAGGGGGGUAGAAUUCCAGGUGUAGCGGUGAAAUGCGUAGAGAUCUGGAGGAAUACCGGUGGCGAAGGCGGCCCCCUGGACAAAGACUGACGCUCAGGUGCGAAAGCGUGGGGAGCAAACAGGAUUAGAGACCCCAGUAGUCCCUGUCUCUUAUCC